rnacentral:tRNA from 1 species
GCGCGGUUAGCUCAGUGGUAGAGCGCUUGCUUCACACGCAAGAAGUCGCAGGUUCGAACCCUGCAUCGCGCA